GGAAUUGUUCGCAAUGGGCGCAAGCCUGACGACGCAACGCCGCGUGGAGGAUGAAGAUCUUCGGGUCGUAAACUCCUGUCGAGCGGGACGAACACCUAUCCGGCGAAUAUCCGGACAGGCUGACGGUACCGCUAAAGGAAGCCCCGGCUAACUCCGUGCCAGCAGCCGCGGUAAUACGGGGGGGGCAAGCGUUGUUCGGAAUUACUGGGCGUAAAGGGCGCGUAGGCGGCCAUUCAAGUGACGGGUGAAAGCCCUCGGCUUAACCGAGGAACUGCCUGUCGGACUGGAUGGCUUGAGACCGGGAGAGGUGAGUGGAAUUCCCAGUGUAGCGGUGAAAUGCGUAGAUAUUGGGAGGAACACCAGUGGCGAAGGCGGCUCACUGGACCGGAACUGACGCUGAGGCGCGAAAGCGUGGGGAGCAAAC
rnacentral:rRNA from 1 species